rnacentral:rRNA from 1 species
AAUCCAUAGGUUAAUGAGGCGAACCGGGGGAACUGAAACAUCUAAGUACCCCGAGGAAAAGAAAUCAACCGAGAUUCCCCCAGUAGCGGCGAGCGAACGGGGAGGAGCCCAGAGCCUGAAUCAGCAUGUGUGUUAGUGGAAGCGUCUGGAAAGGCGCGCGAUACAGGGUGACAGCCCCGUACACAAAAGCGCAUGUGCUGUGAGCUCGAUGAGUAGGGCGGGACACGUGGUAUCCUGUCUGAAUAUGGGGGGACCAUCCUCCAAGGCUAAAUACUCCUGACUGACCGAUAGUGAACCAGUACCGUGAGGGAAAGGCGAAAAGAACCCCGGCGAGGGGAGUGAAAAAGAACCUGAAACCGUGUACGUACAAGCAGUGGGAGCCCCACCACCAAAGCAUUCUCUGGUGUUGAAGGCCCUGCAAAGCAGCAUCGCGGUGGCGG